GUCUACGGGCGUACCACCCUGCACAUGCCUGGUCUUGUCUGAUCUCAGAAGCUAAGCAGGGUUGAGCCUGGUUAGUACUUGGAUGGCAGAAAGGGUACUAUUUGUAUGCU
rnacentral:rRNA from 1 species